AGAAAGAGAAGAUCAUGAUGCCUUCAUGGUGCCUACCCAUGGGUGUCUUGAAAGGACUGACAUUCAAGUUGUGUAGACCUUGGAUUUGCAGACCUCCACAAUGAUCUUCUUUCUGGGCAUAUUACUCAUGGACCUUUCAGGUAAAACCUCUGGGAAUAAAAUCACUCCAAAUAGUGUUGAACUCAACACAGUGGAGGGAGAUAAUGUAACCCUCUCCUGUAACUACAGCUCUGGAGACUAUCUACAGUGGUAUCGCCAGUAUCCAAGAUCAGCACCCCAGUUUCUCUUGUUCAUCACUAGUCCUGAUAAGACAGACAAAUCAGAUGUGGAAGCACGAUUCUCUGGGAGAAUGAAUAAGGAGAGAAAUCAGAUGUUUCUGUACAUCUCCUCUGCUAAACUCUCAGACUCUGCUCUCUACUACUGUGCCCUGAGGCCCACAGUGAAGGAAACUGGCAAACUGUCUUACAAAAACUGACAUGACGUGACAUGAGAUGACAUACAUCAUACCUUACUCUCCUUACAAAAACUCU